CAACUUUUUGGACACGUUAUGGCCAUUUUGAGUUCCUGGUUAUGCCAUUUGGUUUGACUAAUGACCCUCAAGAUUUUAUGGAUCUUAUGAAUCAGACUUUCAAGCCUUAUUUGGAUCGAUUUGUUGUAGUGUUCAUUGAUGGUAUACUGGUAUAUUCCAAGACUUAUGAAGAGCAUGCUGAACACUUAAGGAUUGUGUUGCAAACCUUAAGGGAGAAUCAACUUUAUGCAAAAAGAGAGAAGUAUGAGUUUUGGAUGACUGAGGUUAAGUUUUUAGGUCAUUUGAUUUCUCAAGAUGGGAUUUUUGUAGAUCCCGCCAAGAUUGACAUUGUGGUACAAUGGGAGAGGCCAAGGAAUGUGAUAGAGGUUCGAAGUUUUCUUGGAUUGGCCAUGUACUAUAGACGUUUUGUAGAGAAUUUCUCAAAAAUUGUUAUGCCCCUUACAAAGCUAACUAGAAAAGAUGUGAAGUUUACUUAGGAUGAUAGUUGUGAGAUAGCCUUCAUGAAGUUAAAACAAAAGUUAACCUCUGCUCCUGUUCUCAUAGUACCUAAUAGUGAGGAUACUUAUGUGGUUUAUACAGAUGCCUCAAGUACGACAUUGGGCUGUGUGUUGAUGCAGAAUGGCAAAGUAGUCGCCUACGCUUCAAGACAGUUGAAGCCACAUGAGAAGAAUUACCCACCCAUGAUCUUGAGCUUGCCGCAUUUGUUUUUUCUUUAAAGAUGUCAAGCUGCUACCUUUAUGGAGUUAGAUUUUAGAUUUAUUCUGAUCAUAAAAUUUUAAAGUACCUCUUUACUCAACGUGAUCUAAAUUUAAGACAAAGGAGGUGGAUUCAAUACAGGGAAGACUAUGACUUUACACUUAACUACCAUCCUGGUAAGGCUAAUGUAGUGGCAGAUGCCUUAAGCAAGAAACCUCAUGGGUUAUUAGCUAGUUUGGCCUUGGAAGAUUAGAAUAGGUCAAAAGCAGUUGGAAACUAUAAUUUGUGCUUGUAUCAGGAUGGUGAUCGUAUUUUCCUCUAUAAUACGGUCGCUACUUCAACACUCCUUCAACAUGUCAAGUUAAGUCAGCAACAAGAUAGAAAUCUAGAAGUUGUCAAGAGUCGAUUGAUAAAUGGUGAACAAAUGGGGGGUUGGGAAGUGAAACCUGAUGGAUUCCUUUACUACAAGGGAAAAAUAGUGGUUACUAAUAUUCCAGAUUUAAGAGAAGCUAUCUUAAAUAAGACACACAAGUCUAAGUUUUCUAUACACCCUGAGAGCACUAAUAUGUAUCAAGAUUUGAAAAGACAGUACUGGUGGACAAGAUUGAAGUAAGAUAUACCAAGUUAUGUUGAAAAGUGUAUGACUUGCCAACAAGUAAAAACUGAACAUCAAAGACCAGUUGGAUUGCUCCAUCCACUACCUAUUCCAGAAUGGAAGUGGGAUAAAAUCACAAUGGAUUUUGUAACUGGAUUACCUUUAACCCCACAGAAACAUGAUGCAAUUUGGGUGAUUAUGGAUCAUUUGACAAAGACAACACAUUUCAUCCCCACAAGAAAGAAUUACAAGGUCACGAGACUAGUCAAGCUUUACAUAGAAAACAUAGUGUGGUUGCAUGGGAUACCCACUAGUAUUGUUUCAGAUAAAGAUCCUCUCUUUACUUCAAAAUUUUGGAGAGCCUUGCAAAAAGCCUUGGGUACUGAAUUAAAUUUUAGUACUGCUUACCACCCCAAAAUAGACGGUCAGUCAAAGAGGACCAUUUUGACUCUAGAAGACAUGCUUCGCUCGUGCGUAUUAGAUUUUUGAGGUAGCUGGGGAGAGCAUUUACCCUUGGUAGAGUUUACUUAUUAUAACGACUAUCAAGCUAGUAUUGGUAUGCCUUCCUAUGAAGCAUUUUACGGGAGACCAUGUAGGUCACCCUUGUGUUGGGCUGGGCUUGAUGAACAUGUUACUAUUGGGCCAGAGAUUAUAAAGGAUACCACCGAGAAAAUUAGAGAUAUUCAAGAAAGGCUUAGAGCGGUCCAAAGUCGCCAAAAGAGUUAUGUAAACCUCCACAGGCGCGAAGUUCAAUACAAAGUUGGUGAUUAUGUGUUCCUAAAGGUGAGAACCAUGAGGGGGGUAACAAGAUUUGGGGUGAAAGGAAAACUGGCUCCUAGGUAUAUCAGACCCUUUGAGAUAACAGAAAGAAUUGGAGAGGUUGCCUAUCGCCUUGCUUUACAACCUCAAUUGGGUCAUGUUCAUGACGUCUUUCAAGUAUCGAUGUUAAGAAAGCAUACUCCAGACGCCUCACAUGUGAUUCAAUACACUGAAGUCGCCAUUCAGGAGAACAUGACUUAUGAGGAGCAACCAAUUAAAAUACUUCCAAGGGAGAUAAAGGUCUUGCAAAACAGAGAAAUUCCACUAGUAAAAGUGUUGUGGCAGAAUCAUACUGAAGAAAAGGCCACAUGGGAAUUAGAGUAAAAAAUGUAUUAUAAAUAUCCUCAUUUGUUUAAUUUUCAAUUAGAAGUAGUACUUUGAAUUUUGGGACGAAAUUCCAUAAGGAGGGAAUAAUUUAAAUACCCUAAAUAUUAUAAAUAAAUAAGUAAAGGACUUAAAUGCAAUUUCUUUUAAAUUGAAUGAGGGACUUUUAGCAAAGAGAGCUAUCUAGAGCAUUCAACCUUUCUCUCCCUUCUCUUGCACGAUACCCACCUCCAUCUAUCUCUUUCCUCCUCUUUCUUCUUCUUUAAACCUCACGGCAACCACCACUCAUCUCCACAAUCAGCGCCGAAAACUCACCAAAUCAAGCUUGAAAAGCUUUGUUUUUGCUCAGUUUUUUUGGUCAUAUUCCAACGCCUUUCAAGACCCAGUUGGCUAAGAAUAGUACGAACGUAAUCCUUGUCACGAGAUCUAUCUUUUACACUCAAGGGACACUAUAAAACUCGUUGGAAAAGUUGAUGGAGACCCCUUGGAAACCAUGGAUUUAGAGUUAUUCUUCGACCAAAACUAGUGGUCUUUAGCUUCGACCAACCUCACCAUUGAGUAGAUCAACUCAAGGGGCUUCACAUUGGUGGCUUUGAUUAUCAUCACCACCGUGAUUCGCUGAAAACCGCCACCACCACCGUUGUUCGUACACCCAAAGAGAUUACUAGAGUGAGUUAGGACAGCCACCAGCAGGUUAGGAGGCUACUUGGAAAUUUGAAGAGAACUUUGGUAUUGACUUAUGCCUAAGAAUUUAGUUAUCGUUUUCUCCUAAUGUAAGAGACGUUGAAAUGUGAAUUGGGAGUUGUAAGGCAGUUGGUCUGUGUUGAUUUAUGCCAACCUUUGAGAUUAUUGACAACGAUGCAUGGAUGACACUCUUUAUGAUUUUAUUUCAUACUUAUAUCUAAAUCACAACUUAAUAUGUGGUCACAUAACUGUGGGGAUUUACUAUGAACCAAUUAUAUGUUUGAUUAAGUUUAAGUACCUA